AUACGUAGGUGGCAGGCGUUGUCCGGAAUUAUUGGGCGUAAAGCGCGCGCAGGCGGUCUCUUAAGUCUGAUGUGAAAGCCCACGGCUCAACCGUGGAGGGUCAUUGGAAACUGGGAGACUUGAGUACAGAAGAGGAGAGUGGAAUUCCACGUGUAGCGGUGAAAUGCGUAGAUAUGUGGAGGAACACCAGUGGCGAAGGCGACUCUCUGGUCUGUAACUGACGCUGAGGCGCGAAAGCGUGGGGAGCAAACAGGAUUAGAUACCCUGGUAGUCCACGCCGUAAACGAUGAGUGCUAGGUGUUAGGGGUUUCGAUGCCCCUAGUGCCGAAGUUAACACAUUAAGCACUCCGCCUGGGGAGUACGACCGCAAGGUUGAA
rnacentral:rRNA from 1 species